UUCCUGGUGAUCCAAUGGCUAAGAUUCCUUGCUCCCAAAGCAAGGAGUCCAGGUUCGAUCCCUAGUCAGGGAA
rnacentral:tRNA from 1 species